rnacentral:rRNA from 1 species
GAUAAACGCUGGCGGCGUGCCUAAUGCAUGCAAGUCGCACGGGAGCGCCUUCGGGCGUCGACCGUGGCGGACGGGUGAGGAACACGUGGCUAACCUGCCCUUAUCUGGGGGAUACCCGCCGGAAACGGCGACUAAUACCGCAUGAGCUUGACUGCGGGGACGUGGUCAAGGAAAGGACUUCGGUCCGGGUGAGGAGGGGGCUGCGGCCGAUUAGCUAGCUGGUGGGGUAACGGCCUACCAGGGCGGUGAUCGGUAGCUGGUCUGAGAGGACGGCCAGCCACACGGGGACUGAGACACGGCCCCGACUCCUACGGGAGGCAGCAGCAAGGAAUUUUCUGCAAUGGGCGCAAGCCUGACAGAGCAACGCCGCGUGGGGGAUGACGCAUCUCGGUGUGUAAACCCCUUUUCCCUGGGACGAAGCCAAUGACGGUACCAGGGGAAGAAGGACCGGCUAACUACGUGCCAGCCGCCGCCGUAACAC